GAGUUCGCGGGAGAGUAGGUUAUUGCCAGGGUUUUUAUUUUGUACUUUAAAUCCUAAAUUUAUUUUUUAUAUUUUUAUAAUGUUCAUGUUUUUGAAUGUUUUAUUCAAAUAAUGUAAAAAAUAAAAUAGAUAUUGACAUGGAUUGAACAAAAGAUAUAUAUUAUUUUAUGUUGCAUAAACAAAUUGGCAAAAUAGAGAUGGAAGAUAAAAAUAUGGUCAAAGUAAUAAGAGUCUAUGGUGAAUGCCUAGGAGCUUUAAGGCGAAGAAGGUCGUGGUAAGCUUAGUAAGGCACGGGGGAGGGGCAAACAUUUAUUGAUCCCAAGAUUACCGAAUGGAGUAAUCC
rnacentral:misc_RNA from 1 species